CAGCAAUGCCGCGUGAGUGAAGAAGGCCUUCGGGUUGUAAAGCUCUUUUGUCAGGGAAGAAACGGUAGAGGCUAAUAUCCUUUGCUAAUGACGGUACCUGAAGAAUAAGCACCGGCUAACUACGUGCCAGCAGCCGCGGUAAUACGUAGGUGGCAAGCGUUGUCCGGAAUUAUUGGGCGUAAAGAGCUCGUAGGCGGUUUGUCGCGUCUGCUGUGAAAACCCGAGGCUCAACCUCGGGCCUGCAGUGGGUACGGGCAGACUAGAGUGCGGUAGGGGAGAUUGGAAUUCCUGGUGUAGCGGUGGAAUGCGCAGAUAUCAGGAGGAACACCGGUGGCGAAGGCGGGUCUCUGGGCAGUAACUGACGCUGAGGAGCGAAAGCGUGGGGAGCGAACAGGAUUAGAUACCCUGGUAGUCCACGCCGUAAACGUUGGGCGCUAGGUGUGGGGCUCAUUCCACGAGUUCCGUGCCGCAGCUAACGCAUUAAGCGCCCCGCCUGGGGAGUACGGCCGCAAGGCUAAAACUCAAAG
rnacentral:rRNA from 1 species